rnacentral:rRNA from 1 species
GCCAGCAGCUGUAUCAGCCUCACUUAAGCUCGGCAGGUGUGAGCCUGGACAGUACCUGGAUGGGAGACCUCCUGGGAAAGCUAAGGUUGAUGCUGGAA